GUGUCAGCCGCCGCGGUAAUACGGAGGGUGCGAGCGUUAAUCGGAAUUACUGGGCGUAAAGCGCAUGCAGGUGGUUUGUUAAGUCAGAUGUGAAAGCCCGGGGCUCAACCUCGGAAUUGCAUUUGAAACUGGCAGGCUAGAGUACUGUAGAGGGGGGUAGAAUUUCAGGUGUAGCGGUGAAAUGCGUAGGGAUCUGAAGGAAUACCGGUGGCGAAGGCGGCCCCCUGGACAGAUACUGACACUCAGAUGCGAAAGCGUGGGGAGCAAACAGGAUUAGAAACCCCAGUAGUCC
rnacentral:rRNA from 1 species